AGUGAACGCUGGCGGCGUGCUUAACACAUGCAAGUCGAACGAGAACGGGCUAUAGCUUGCUAUAGUUGACAGCUAAGUGGCGCACGGGUGAGUAAUGUAUAGGUAAUAUGCCUCUUACUAAGGGAUAACAAAUGGAAACGUUUGCUAAUACCUUAUACUCCUUAUUAACAUAAGUUAAUAAGGGAAAGAUUUAUUGGUAAGAGAUUAGCCUGUAUUGUAUCAGUUAGUUGGUGGGGUAAUGGCUUACCAAGACUAUGACACAUAACUGGUUUGAGAGGAUGAUCAGUCACACUGGAACUGAGACACGGUCCAGACUCCUACGGGAGGCAGCAGUGGGGAAUAUUGCACAAUGGACGAAAGUCUGAUGCAGCAACGCCGCGUGGAGGAUGACACAUUUCGGUGCGUAGACUCCUUUUAUAUGAGAAGAUAAUGACGGUAUUAUAUGAAUAAGCACCGGCUAACUCCGUGCCAGCAGCCGCCGUAA
rnacentral:rRNA from 1 species